rnacentral:ncRNA from 1 species
AUAUUUAUUUGGCAAACUACUCGAAAGAGUAGGACGCAAAGCUAAAGGGGCUACAUCUAUUUAUAAAAGAUAUGCCAGCCAGUUGCACUU